CUUCCACCUCCUCCACUUCUGCCUCUGCCACCCCCAAGACAGCAAAACCAACCCAUCCACUUCCUCUUCCUUGGCCUGCUCACUGUGAGCUCUUUGAGGAUGGAGACCUUUCUGAUGAUCCACUUCCACGUGAUGAGUAUUACAGCUGCCUGCAGUCAACUGCCCUCCAAAAAUAGGGACAAACCAGAGCAUAGCUGAAUCUCCAACGCCUUAUGCUAAGCGAAACAAGCCAGACUCCAAGCCCACAUGUGACAUUCUGGAAUGGGCAAAGUAGGAGGACUGAGGAACAGACAGGUGGCUGCAAGAGCGGGGAGGAGAGAGGCUGCCUUCCUGAGU